GUUUUUGUUAUUUUUAAAGAGUUCUCAUAUUCUUGUCUAUCUUCAGGUGAUAAUCGUGCAACAUUUUCAUGUUUCAUUGGAAUAUAUUUCGGUCUUUCGUUUAGUAAAAAACGUUCAUAACGCUCUCUUUCCUUCGGUUUCAUCAUAGCCAGAUCACUUUCUUUCCAAUCAGCAGAAUCUACCCAAUUGUGAAAAAAAAUUGCGCUUGAGUUUUGGUCGUUCCUCUUCUGUUUGUGGCGGUGUAGGGAAAUUAGGUUUAGGAGUAGCAGGUAUUGGUGAUGGUAUUUCCGUUGGUACAGAAAUAGGAGGUACUUGUGGUGGUAUUUCCGCUGGUACAGGAGUAUAGUAGACACUAGUGGAGUUCUCUGAACAGGGGCUUGAGCCGGGACAUCCA
rnacentral:lncRNA from 1 species